CUACGGGCCGCUGCAGUGAGGAAUAUUGCACAAUGGGGGGAACCCUGAUGCAGCAACGCCGCGUGGAGGAUGACGCAUCUCGGUGUGUAAACUCCUUUUAUAUGUCAAGAAAAUGACGGUAGCAUAUGAAUAAGCACCGGCUAACUCCGUGCCAGCAGCCGCGGUAAUACGGAGGGUGCAAGCGUUACUCGGAAUCACUGGGCGUAAAGGACGCGUAGGCGGGUUGGAAAGUCAGGUGUGAAAUCCUACAGCUUAACUGUAGAACUGCACUUGAAACUUCUAAUCUAGAGUAUGGGAGGGGGAGAUGGAAUUAGUGGUGUAGGGGUAAAAUCCGUAGAUAUCACUAGGAAUACCUAAAGCGAAGGCGAUCCCCUGGAACAUUACUGACGCUAAGGCGUGAAAGCGUGGGGAGCAAACAGGAUUAGAUACCCGAGUAGUC
rnacentral:rRNA from 1 species